AUUGAACGCUGGCGGCAUGCCUUACACAUGCAAGUCGAACGGCAGCAUGGAGAGCUUGCUCUCUGAUGGCGAGUGGCGAGCGGGUGAGUAAUGCAUCGGAACGUACCGUGUAAUGGGGGAUAACGUAGCGAAAGUUACGCUAAUACCGCAUACGACCUGAGGGUGAAAGCAGGGGAUCGCAAGACCUUGCGUUAUACGAGCGGCCGAUGUCAGAUUAGCUAGUUGGUGAGGUAAAGGCUCACCAAGGCGACGAUCUGUAGCGGGUCUGAGAGGAUGAUCCGCCACACUGGGACCGAGACACGGCCCAGACUCCUACGGGAGGCAGCAGUGGGGAAUUUUGGACAAUGGGGGCAACCCUGAUCCAGCCAUGCCGCGUGAGUGAAGAAGGCCUUCGGGUUGUAAAGCUCUUUCGGCCGGGAAGAAAUCGCACAGGCUAAUACUCUGUGUGGAUGACGGCACCGGCAUAAGAAGCACCGGCUAACUACGUGCCAGCCGCCGCCGUAA
rnacentral:rRNA from 1 species